UACGUAGGGUGCAAGCGUUGUCCGGAAUUAUUGGGCGUAAAGAGCUCGUAGGCGGUUUGUCGCGUCUGCUGUGAAAACCUAGGGCUUAACCCUGGGCCUGCAGUGGGUACGGGCAGACUAGAGUGCGGUAGGGGAGAAUGGAACUCCUGGUGUAGCGGUGGAAUGCGCAGAUAUCAGGAAGAACACCGAUGGCGAAGGCAGUUCUCUGGGCCGUAACUGACGCUGAGGAGCGAAAGCGUGGGGAGCGAACAGG
rnacentral:rRNA from 1 species